rnacentral:rRNA from 1 species
AGCGAACGCUGGCGGCAGGCCUAACACAUGCAAGUCGAGCGCCCCGCAAGGGGAGCGGCAGACGGGAGAGUAACACGUGGGAACGUGCCCUUUGGUUCGGAACAACCCAGGGAAACUUGGGCUAAUACCGGAUAAGCCCUUACGGGGAAAGAUUUAUCGCCGAAGGAUCGGCCCGCGUCUGAUUAGCUAGUUGGUGGGGUAAUGGCCCACCAGGGCGACGAUCAGUAGCUGGUCUGAGAGGAUGAUCAGCCUCACUGGGACUGAGACACGGCCCAGACUCCUACGGGAGGCAGCAGUGGGGAAUAUUGGACAAUGGGCGCAAGCCUGAUCCAGCCAUGCCGCGUGGGUGAUGAAGGCCCUAGGGUUGUAAAGCCCUUUCGGCGGGGAAGAUAAUGACGGUACCCGCAGAAGAAGCCCCGGCUAACUUCGUGCCAGCAGCCGCCGCAGUAA